GUGGGAAAGUUUACUCAGUAAAACCCAAAGGCGCAAUUAACAUGACUGUUAUGGGAUUACAUGGGGCUCAGCCAAAAGCAUAUAGCCCCAUCUCCAUCCCGGGGCGAUUCAUCAGGUAACUUCGGUUAUCGAGUCGUACCUUGAGCACAUAUGGUAGGACCCGAAAGAUGGUGAACUAUG
rnacentral:rRNA from 1 species